rnacentral:rRNA from 1 species
UACGUAGGCGGAAAAUUAAGUCAGUAGUGAAAUCCCGCAGCUUAACUGUGGAACUGUUAUUGAUACUGGUUUUCUUGAAUAUAGUUGAGGUAGGCGGAAUGUGUAAUGUAGCGGUGAAAUGCUUAGAUAUUACACAGAACACCGAUUGCGAAGGCAGCUUACUAAGCUAUGAUUGACGCUGAGGUAUGAAAGCGUAGGGAGCGAACAGGAUUAGAUACCCUGGUAGUCC